CCUCAGUAAAUGUUUAUUGGAUGAAUAAAUGAAUGACUCAUCAACAAACAUUUAUCGUGUGCC
rnacentral:pre_miRNA from 1 species